ensembl:lncRNA novel transcript
GCGCAGCUGUGGGAAGAAGCAAGUGCCCUCUUCCCAUGCAGCCUGGCUGUGGCAGUGUGAGGCUCUACGACUCCAGCAAUGAUUAAGAAGCAGGUCUUGGCCAGGCAUGGCGGUCACACCUGUAAUCCCAACACUUUUGGAGACCAAGGUGGGAUCAUUGCUUGAAGCCAGGAGAUCAAGACCAGAUUGGACAGCACAGCAAGACCCUGUCUCUACCAAACACUUUAAAAAAUAAACUUU